AACGAACGCUGGCGGCAUGCCUAACACAUGCAAGUCGAACGAGACCUUCGGGUCUAGUGGCGCACGGGUGCGUAACGCGUGGGAACCUGCCCUUAGGUUCGGAAUAACUCCCCGAAAGGGGUGCUAAUACCGGAUAAUGUCUUCGGACCAAGGAUUUAUCGCCUUUGGAUGGGCCCGCGUUGGAUUAGCUAGUUGGUAGGGUAAAAGCCUACCAAGGCGACGAUCCAUAGCUGGUCUGAGAGGAUGAUCAGCCACACUGGGACUGAGACACGGCCCAGACUCCUACGGGAGGCAGCAGUGGGGAAUAUUGGAAAAUGGGCGAAAGGAUGAUCCAGCAAGGACGCGUGAGUGAUGAAGGCAUUAGGGUUGUAAAGCUCUUUUAACCGGGAUGAUAAUGACAGUACCGGGAGAAUAAGCGACGGCUAACUCCGUG
rnacentral:rRNA from 1 species